rnacentral:lncRNA from 1 species
AUUAUGGAGAGUUGGGGGAAGAGGGAAAGUAUUGGGGAGAAGAGGGAGAGUAUUCUGGAGAGUUGGGGGAAGAGGGAGAGUAUUGGGGAGAAGAGGGAAAGUAUUGGGGAGAAGAGGGAGAGUAUUGGGAGAAGAGGGAGAGUAUUUUGGAGAGUUGGGAGAAGAGGGAAAGUAUUGGGGAGGGAGAGUAUUCUUGAAAGUUGGGGGAAAAGGUAGAGUAGUGGGGAGAAGAGGGAGAGUAUUCUUGAGAGUUAGGGGAAAGAGAGUACUGGGGAGAAGGAGGGGAAGAGGGACAGUGAGAAGGAGGGGAAGAGGGAGAGUAGUGUGGAGAGUUUGGGGUAGAGGGAGAGUAUUAGGGAAAAGAGGGAAAGUAUUGGGGAGAAGAGGGAAAAUAUUCUGAAGAGUUGGAGGAAGAGGGAGAGUAUUGGGGAGAAGAGGGAGAGUUAGGAGAAAGAUAGUACUGGGGGAAGAAGGAGGGGAACAGGGAGAGUAAUGUGGAGAGUUUAGCGAAGAAGAAGGGGAAAGAGGACAGUAAUCUGCAGAAUUUGGGGAAGAGGGAGAUUAGUGUGGAGAGUUUUGGGAUGAUGGGAUUUCAGAGGACUUUUCUUUUUCUUUGUUUCUGCCUUCUUAUUUGUCUCUGCCCAGUAGAUCUCAUUUCCUUCCUUUUUCUUGAGUUUUGUCUCUCUAGAAAAUCUCCCAUCUCCUUUUCUUUUCUCA